rnacentral:rRNA from 1 species
UACGUAGGGGGCAAGCGUUGUCCGGAAUCAUUGGGCGUAAAGCGCGCGUAGGCGGCCCGAUAAGUCCGCUGUGAAAGUCAAAGGCUCAACCUUUGAAUGCCGGUGGAUACUGUCGGGCUAGAGUCCGGAAGAGGCGAGUGGAAUUCCUGGUGUAGCGGUGGAAUGCGCAGAUAUCAGGAGGAACACCAAGAGCGAAGGCAGCUCGCUGGGACGGUACUGACGCUAAGGCGCGAAAGCGUGGGGAGCGAACAGG